GCCAGGCCGAGGGACCCCACCGGUGCAUACAUCGGUGCACCAGGCCUCUAUUUUAGAAUAACAAGUAUUUGUCCUUUAUUAGUAAAGAUGACUAAAUAUGAUUUAUUUCCUUUUGGUCAUUCCUGCUCUGAACUGCCUUUAGCCUUACACUACAUAGGCCAUGAUGCUUCCAGACUACUUCUAAGAUGCAAAAUGUAGUUUAGAUAGGUGAAAAUUUAUAUGUUGGUUUACUUAGUUGAGCUCUUUUGGUAUAAGCCACUGAGAUACUAGGAAGCUCUCAGUGAGCACAAACCACCGCAGAGAUGCUGCAUACCUAGAAACAGCUUUCCAGACUGGACAGAGAGCUUGUGAUCAGCCUGUCAGGAUAUGCUUUGUAUAAAGUUCGAGUUUGUUGAGCUAAAUGGUCCACAGUCUUAAACAAAAUGCUGUGACCUACUUUCUUUUGGAGGUGAUGGUGGAGGAGAAUAUAAAAGAGACUAUUUUCAUGUUUAUAUUUGUGGUAUAGUAUUAGAAAAUUGUCAGGCAAUUCCCACCUGAUAAAGAUCCCACAUCAACUGUCAUUUAUGAUUUGUAUUAAAAAGGCAUAAAAAAGACAAAUGUUUUUAUCUUUUUCUUCCUUUGGUACCUAGGUUUACUCUUGAGGAUAAAAUAUUUUGAAAAUAGUUCUGUGUCUCCAGGUGGUAGUCCUUCGCUUUGCAUGUGUUACCUCUCUAACCACCCAGAGUUAGGAGAUGAACGGGGGGUUCACACUCUAAUGAAGAAGGUGCAGCAUGCCUGUGUGCUUUUUGUUUAGGCCAGUUGUCGGCAAACUGCAGUUCGCGAGCCACAUGCGGAUCUUUGGCCCCUUGAGUGUGGCUCUUCCACAAAAUACCGACUUCUGCGCAUGGGCCAUGAAGUUUCAAUCGCACUGUACGUGUGUGCCCGCAUGUGGUAUUUUGUGGAAGAGCCACACUCAAGGGGCCAAAGAGCCGCAUGUGGCUCGUGAGCCGCAGUUUGCCGACCACUGGUUUAGGCUCACAGGGAUUUAGUAAUUGACUUUGUCUUGGCUUUCUUAUUUAUAAUUGAAAUCCUGAGCACAGCCACAGAGUAUAAUUUGGGUUGUGAGGAUGGACUUUUGUAUAUGUUGUUGGUGUUAGGAAGUAUAUCUUUUGCCUUUCUUCUUGUUCAGUUCUGUGGAAUUUACAUUUCAAUGUUUUCAUAUUUUUAUAAGGGUUUGCAAAAUAAUUUAGCCCAAACUCUUGUUGGGAUGUAGUUGGGAUGCAGAUUACCUGCCCUAGACUUAAAACUAUUGUGACUGAGGUGGAGAGGUAAUCUCAGAAUCAAAAAGAGACAGCAGCUAUUUGUUCCAGAUGAAGGGGCCAAUGAUUGAGAAUUAACAUUCUUGAACAAUGAUACAAGAAAGGGUAACUUUGACUUGGACAUUUUUAAAUAGAGAGGGGAAUGGGUUUUUUGUUUGGAUAGAAAAGUAUUCAGAACAAAACAAAGUAGUUUCUUUAUACAGGAAAUAAGUCAUUUUGUAUCUUCAUUAUUGAUUGGAAAUUAUACUGUAAGUUUUUUAAAGACAUGUUUUAGUUUCUUGGAGAAGUAGUUCCUGAAGGUGUAUUUUGGUUAUUAUAUGAAUAAAGUCAAAUAAAUUUGGGAAGUGUCGGGUUAGACCAGCCGUGGGCAAACUACAGCCCGCGGGCCGGAUCCGGCCUGUUUGAAAUGAAUAAAACUAUUGAAAAAAAAGAGCGUACCCUUUUAUGUAAUGAUGUUUACUUUGAAUUUAUAUUAGUUCACACAAACACUCCAUCCAUGCUUUUGUUCCGGCCCUCCGGUCCAGUUUAAGAACCCAUUGUGGCCCUCGAGUUAAAAGUUUGCCCACCCUUGGGUUAGACAAAGUUAAGUUACUGCAGGCCUUUCAGAACCUUUGGUAUGCUAUUGUGUGGUUUCAAUCUCCAAGAAGUACCUGUAUCUUAUUUUUGUGUGGAUUUCUUUAAAUAGGUGUUUUGUGAGAUUUGUGUUCUGAGAAAUACACUUAGGGAAAUGCUGCCCUAGAGUGUUUUGGGUGUUUGUGUUCACUGCGAAGGUUUCCCAUUGGUGUCCCUCUGGUGAAUGGUGGCACAUGGGAAGAGACAGGUCAAGACUCCCUUGGCCCGUAAAUUGAGAGAUGGGUGGCUACAGGUGUGCUGGUUGGUUAGGUAGGCACAUGGUAGACCCAUGGCCAGACGAGCGCCACUUUCCCUAGAAUCCCAGUCGGCUUGUGAACUGGUGGUUUCAGAAAACUAACCACUUCAUAGGCAUCUAGGAGACAGAGGGAAUCAACUUGGAAUUCCAGAACAAUCGUCCAAACCGUUUUUAUAGCACUAAAGUCACAUACAAGCUGGUUAUUUUAUAUAUAUAUAAAAAUAUGUACACACAUAAGUAUGUAUACACAUGCACAUACUAGCAUAUAAGUAUGUGUAUACACACACACACACACACACACACACACACACGCACAGUGUCCUAGAAAGUUUAGUUGCUUUAAGAACAAAGCAAAGGAAGGUUAAUGUUUUCAAGUUCUGAUAGACAUUCCCGAAGACAGUCUAAACAUGAAUUGUAUAUUUUUUGGCAUGAGGGUUUAUAGUUCUUAUUAAAUUCUCAGCAGUUUCUAUAUCCCCCAAAUUUUAAACCUCACUAGCCUCCACAUUGCAGAGGACUAAGUAUGUUUAAUUUCAUUUCCAGUAUAAAACCAGAUUACUCGUCAGGUACAAGGAUGCUUUUGUCUGUCUUCUGUAGUGUGUACAGUUGCAGAUUCGGAACACCUGCAAUGCUUUGGAGUGCAUUUGAUGGAAAGCUUGCCUUUGGGUUUUGAGUUGUGUAAUGGGGAACAUCUAGCCAUGUGAAAAGCAGUUGAACCUUUGUUCUGAUUCUUCAGCUUUCCUCAUGCAAAGUCAGAGAAAUGCCUUUUAAUCAUUGAGUUUAUAUAUCCCAGAUCCUUGGAGAUCAAGGAAAAUGACGUGCCAGAAUUUGCAUCAGUGCUUAGCGAGUCCUGAACUACAGAGAAGGUAGUGCUGGCCUUUCAUUCUUUGCACUGUUGGCUCCUUUUGCAUUGCUGGCAUCUUUAUUUCUUGGCAAAGGAAAGGUGUACUCAAGCUUUUAUGUUAAUUACAUAAAGAUGAGUUUUAUUUCUCUUUUGAUUUUAUGUCUUAUUUUGUAAAAUAGGAAAUAAUGUCUUUCCAUUUUUCUGUUUGUCUUGAAGUGGAAAUUUGAGGUGUUUGGAUGUAACUUUAGCUUUCUGGAAGAAGGACAGCAGAGAAGAUGAGUAAGAAAUAUAUGUGUGUACAUAAUUAUUGGCUUUGAUCCACCAAGCUUAUCUUUGAAUGGUAAACAUUUUAAAUAUCAGUUCCAGUACAAAUACUAUGGUUUUGUUAUAAACAAUCUUAAAAUAAGCAAUUUUGGUCAUAAUUUCAAUAUUCUAGCUUUGUCUAGUGUGAGUAUGUUUUACUCAGAGACAAUAUAUAAAUGCCCAGAAUUGGUGAUGAAGAUAAUGUUGUAAAGAAUUUAUUCUGAUAAAUGAGAAACUGGAUAUAAUGUCAAAAUAGCUGUUUUCACAAUAAAAUCUCAAAUUGCCUGGAUGUUUAUUAAA